rnacentral:rRNA from 1 species
ACGAAAGCGUGGGGAGCGAACGGGAUCAGAUACCCCGGUAGUCCACGCUGUAAACGAUGAGUGCUAGGUAUCGGAGGGAUUUGACCCCCUUCAGUGCCCACAGCUAACGCGUUAAGCACUCCGCCUGGGGAGUACGGUCGCAAGACUAAAACUCAAAGGAAUAGACGGGGACCCGCACAAGCGGUGGAUCAUGUGGUUUAAUUCGACGAUAAGCGAGAAACCUCACCUAGACUUGACAUCUCGAGAAGGUUCUGGAAACAGAACUGUGCCGCAAGGAACUCGAUGACAGGUGCUGCAUGGUUGUCGUCAGCUCGUGCCCUGAGGUGUUCGGUUAAGUCCGUAAACGAGCGCAACCCUUGUCAUAUGUUGUAUUUCUCAUAUGAAACUGCCGGCUCCAAGCCGGAGGAAGGUAGGGAUGACGUCAAAUCAGCAUGGCCCUUAUGUCUAGGGCUACACACAUGAUACAAUGGGUCGUACAAUGGGUAGCCAAGGAGCAAUCCGGAGCCAAUCCCUAAAACGAUCCUCAGUUCGGAUUGAGGUCUGCAACUCGACCUCAUGAAGUUGGAAUCGCUAGUAACCGUGGAUCAUAACGCCACGGUGAAUAUGUUCCCGGGUCUUGUACUCACCGCCCGUCACAUCACGGAAGGUGGAAGCACCCAAAGCACCAUU